CGACCGGCGCACGGGUGAGUAACACGUAUCCAACCUGCCGUCUACUCUUGGACAGCCUUCUGAAAGGAAGAUUAAUACAAGAUGGCAUCAUGAGUCCGCAUGUUCACAUGAUUAAAGGUAUUCCGGUAGACGAUGGGGAUGCGUUCCAUUAGAUAGUAGGCGGGGUAACGGCCCACCUAGUCUUCGAUGGAUAGGGGUUCUGAGAGGAAGGUCCCCCACAUUGGAACUGAGACACGGUCCAAACUCCUACGGGAGGCAGCAGUGAGGAAUAUUGGUCAAUGGGCGAGAGCCUGAACCAGCCAAGUAGCGUGAAGGAUGACUGCCCUAUGGGUUGUAAACUUCUUUUAUAAAGGAAUAAAGUCGGGUAUGCAUACCCGUUUGCAUGUACUUUAUGAAUAAGGAUCGGCUAACUCCGUGCCAGCAGCCGCGGUAAUACAGAGGAUCCGAGCGUUAUCCGGAUUUAUUGGGUUUAAGGGGAGCGUAGAUGGAUGUUUAAGUCAGUUGUGAAAGUUUGCGGCUCAACCAUAAAAUUGCAGUUGAUACUGGAUAUCUUGAGUGCAGUUGAGGCAGGCGGAAUUCGUGGUGUAGCGGUGAAAUGCUUAGAUAUCACGAAGAACUCCGAUUGCGAAGGCAGCCUGCUAAGCUGCAACUGACAUUGAGGCUCGAAAGUGUGGGUAUCAAACAGGAUUAGAUACCCUGGUAGUCCACACGGUAAACGAUGAAUACUCGCUGUUUGCGAUAUACGGCAAGCGGCCAAGCGAAAGCGUUAAGUAUUCCACCUCGGGAAAACGCCGGCAC
rnacentral:rRNA from 1 species